AGUGAACGCUGGCGGCGUGCUUAACACAUGCAAGUCGAACGAGAACGGAUUAUAGCUUGCUAUAAUUGUCAGCUAAGUGGCGCACGGGUGAGUAAUGUAUAGGUAAUAUGCCUCUUACUAAGGGAUAACAAAUGGAAACGUUUGCUAAUACCUUAUACUCCUUAUUAACAGAAGUUAAUAAGGUAAAGAUUUAUUGGUAAGAGAUUAGCCUGUAUUGUAUCAGUUAGUUGGUGGGGUAAUUGCUUACCAAGACUAUGACACAUAACUGGUUUGAGAGGAUGAUCAGUCACACUGGAACUGAGACACGGUCCAGACUCCUACGGGAGGCAGCAGUGGGGAAUAUCGCACAAUGGACGAAAGUCUGAUGCAGCAACGCCGCGUGGAGGAUGACACAUUUCGGUGCGUAAACUCCUUUUAUAUGAGAAGAUAAUGACGGUAUUAUAUGAAUAAGCACCGGCUAACUCCGUGCCAGCCGCCGCAGUAA
rnacentral:rRNA from 1 species